rnacentral:rRNA from 1 species
AUAAGACUGGGAUAACUUCGGGAAACCGGAGCUAAUACCGGAUAACAUGUUGAACCGCAUGGUUCAACAGUGAAAGACGGUCUUGCUGUCACUUAUAGAUGGAUCCGCGCCGCAUUAGCUAGUUGGUAAGGUAACGGCUUACCAAGGCAACGAUGCGUAGCCGACCUGAGAGGGUGAUCGGCCACACUGGAACUGAGACACGGUCCAGACUCUUACGGGAGGCAGCAGUAGGGAAUCUUCCGCAAUGGGCGAAAGCCUGACGGGGCAACGCCGCGUGAGUGAUGAAGGUCUUCGGAUCGUAAAACUCUGUUAUUAGGGAAGAACAAAUGUGUAAGUAACUAUGCACGUCUUGACGGUACCUAAUCAGAAAGCCACGGCUAACUACGUGCCAGCAGCCGCGGUAAUACGUAGGUGGCAAGCGUUAUCCGGAAUUAUUGGGCGUAAAGCGCGCGUAGGCGGUUUUUUAAGUCUGAUGUGAAAGCCCACGGCUCAACCGUGGAGGGUCAUUGGAAACUGGAAAACUUGAGUGCAGAAGAGGAAAGUGGAAUUCCAUGUGUAGCGGUGAAAUGCGCAGAGAUAUGGAGGAACACCAGUGGCGAAGGCGACUUUCUGGUCUGUAACUGACGCUGAUGUGCGAAAGCGUGGGGAUCAAACAGGAUUAG